rnacentral:rRNA from 1 species
AGAGCUUGAUCAUGGCUCAGAUUGAACGCUGGCGGCAGGCCUAACACAUGCAAGUCGAACGGUAACAGGAAACAGCUUGCUGUUUCGCUGACGAGUGGCGGACGGGUGAGUAAUGUCUGGGAAACUGCCUGAUGGAGGGGGAUAACUACUGGAAACGGUAGCUAAUACCGCAUAACGUCGCAAGACCAAAGAGGGGGACCCUCGGGCCUCUUGCCAUCGGAUGUGCCCAGAUGGGAUUAGCUUGUUGGUGGGGUAACGGCUCACCAAGGCGACGAUCCCUAGCUGGUCUGAGAGGAUGACCAGCCACACUGGAGCUGAGACACGGUCCAGACUCCUACGGGAGGCAGCAGUGGGGAAUAUUGCACAAUGGGCGCAAGCCUGAUGCAGCCAUGCCGCGUGUAUGAAGAAGGCCUUCGGGUUGUAAAGUACUUUCAGCGGGGAGGAAGGGAGUAAAGUUAAUACCUUUGCUCAUUGACGUUACCCGCAGAAGAAGCACCGGCUAACUCCGUGCCAGCAGCCGCGGUGAUACGGAGGGUGCAAGCGUUAAUCGGAAUUACUGGGCGUAAAGCGCACGCAGGCGGUUUGUUAAGUCAGAUGUGAAAUCCCCGGGCUCAACCUGGGAACUGCAUCUGAUACUGGCAAGCUUGAGUCUCGUAGAGGGGGGUAGAAUUCCAGGUGUAGCGGUGAAAUGCGUAGAGAUCUGGAGGAAUACCGGUGGCGAAGGCGGCCCCCUGGACGAAGACUGACGCUCAGGUGCGAAAGCGUGGGGAGCAAACAGGAUUAGAUACCCUGGUAGUCCACGCCGUAAACGAUGUCGACUUGGAGGUUGUGCCCUUGAGGCGUGGCUUCCGGAGCUAACGCGUUAAGUCGACCGCCUGGGGAGUACGGCCGCAAGGUUAAAACUCAAAUGAAUUGACGGGGGCCCGCACAAGCGGUGGAGCAUGUGGUUUAAUUCGAUGCAACGCGAAGAACCUUACCUGGUCUUGACAUCCACGGAAGUUUUCAGAGAUGAGAAUGUGCCUUCGGGAACCGUGAGACAGGUGCUGCAUGGCUGUCGUCAGCUCGUGUUGUGAAAUGUUGGGUUAAGUCCCGCAACGAGCGCAACCCUUAUCCUUUGUUGCCAGCGGUCCGGCCGGGAACCCAAAGGAGACUGCCAGUGAUAAACUGGAGGAAGGUGGGGAUGACGUCAAGUCAUCAUGGCCCUUACGACCAGGGCUACACACGUGCUACAAUGGCGCAUACAAAGAGAAGCGACCUCGCGAGAGCAAGCGGACCUCAUAAAGUGCGUCGUAGUCCGGAUUGGAGUCUGCAACUCGACUCCAUGGAG